CAUCUUCCCAAAUGAGAGUAACUGCCAAGAGAAUCGAAAAAAAAAAAAAAAGGGGAGGAAUGAAAGAAGAAAUAACUUAGAAGAACGGGUAAAUAUGCAGUUCACGCUUUAUUGUGCGUGCAUUCAGUCUUGUUACUCGCAUUAGUGUCCAAAGAAACUGUUUUCAAAAAAUAUUUUUCUCCAAAAUAAAAACAGAAAUAAUUUUCUGUUUAAAAAAAACAAAAAAAUGCAGCUGGUCUUUAUUUAAAAAACUGAAAAAGACUGUUUUAUGUGUUUUUUUAACAGAAACUGAAAACAAAAAUGUUUUCAAAAAACAGUUUUCUACAAAUUAAAAAUAGAAAUAUUUUUUUGUUUUAAAAAACAAAAAAAAUGCCGUUUCUGUUUUUGUUUAAAACAGAAACUUCAAAAAAAAAUUAUUUUAAAAAAAAUCUCCAAAAUAAGAAUAAAAUAAUUUUCUAUUUAAAAAACAUGCAAAAAAUGCGUUUGUUUUGUUUAAAACAUGAAAAAGACUGUUUAUCUUUUUUUUAACAUAAAAUGAAAAAUUAAUAAAACUGUUUUCAAAAAAACAGUUUCCACAAAAUAAAACAUAAUAACUCUGUUUAAAAAAACUGAAAAAACUAUAGUUUUUGUUUCGUUUAAAAAAAUUGAAAAAAGACUAUUUUCAAUUUUAGUUUCGGUUUUUUAAACGGGAAAAACUGGACAGUAAAAAACUGUUGCCAGUUUUUUCAACAUAAAAAUAAAACAAAAACAAUGUCUGUUAAAAAACAUUUAAAAUUAAGCAGUUUUUUUUUUAAAAAUUGAAAUAUAUUUCUGUUUUUGUUACAGAGUAACAGAAAUGGAACAAGAAAAAGAAAAUUGUUUCAAAACUAGUUUUCUUCAAAUAAAAGCAGAAAGAAAUAAUUUCAAAUUAAAAAAAAAAAAAAAAUCCCAGUCCGAGUAAAGUGGGUCUAGGAUUGAAAGACCUCUCUCAAGCGAGAUAAGUUGGGUUGUUUAUUGAGUACUUGGAUGAUUUAUUUUUAAGCCAUCUCUAACGCACCCUAAAUGAGUAAAUGAAUCGAGACUACAUUUUGAACCCCAAUAAUACGAGAAUGGCCUGUUAGAAUCUUUUUUUAAAAAAAAUGAUCUAUUUCGUUUCAAAUUUUUUGUUUGAAAUUUUUUCAUUAUCUCAUCAAAAUCUGAUAUUUUUCAGUUCCCCUUAACGAGAGAAUCUAAUAAUGUAAAAUUUUUAUUAAAUUAAAAAAAAUAUGUUGAAGAACAAAAAAUGAGGAAGUAUUCAAUUUUAAAAAAAAAAAAUAAUGUUGGAAGAAUGAUGUGAAGCGGCGCAGCCAUGAGAGGCGUGCUCUUCCAAAAGGAAUAAGUUCGACGCAGGUGAUGGUCGGCGGCAUAAACCUCAGCAAUGGAUUAUGAUCAGUGUUUCCUUUAAAGCCCAAGGUUUUGGGUGGGAGAAGAUGUAGGGUCAUCUACUUGUUCGAUGAAAUAUCUCAAGGACAUUCAACAGAUCUUCCCUCUAUCAAUUUUACUUCCCCCCUGAAAUUAUAUGGCAGAAUGGGGGGGUGAUUGAGGCGUACGGACAUUAGAUUUUGGUCCGGUAUAGGGAGAAGCACAACAGGUGGAGAAGUGUAGGAGCAGAUUUUAGUGUAGCCAGACGAGAUUGGGGACUCAGUUACCAUUAAGUUGGACCUAUUGUCAUCCUAGAGGAAUUACACACUACCUAAGGUCGAGAGAGUGAAAAAGCUACAAUAAUUGCAUGAAAUGCAAGAAAUAAAAUGAAUUAAGGAAUAGAAAGGAAAUACCAUCCAAGUCAUAUGGGGUUGGAAAGAAUUGCAAGUAACAAAACAAAGCAACAGUCAAACCUGCCAAAUGAAAAGAAAAAGAUUCCUAUAUCAAUACACAACCAAUGUAAACAGGAGGACAAUAGAAAAAUCAGAAUUUUUGGGCAAUGGUAAACUAUCCUGUGGCGGAGAAAACAGAGUAAAAAUAGGAUUAGAAAAAUCUAAAUUUUCUUCAAUAGAAGUUAUACAUACAAAUUGAUCGAUCGU
rnacentral:lncRNA from 1 species